ACGGAGGGGGCUAGCGUUGUUCGGAAUUACUGGGCGUAAAGCGCACGUAGGCGGCUUUGUAAGUUAGAGGUGAAAGCCCAGGGCUCAACCCUGGAAUUGCCUUUAAGACUGCAUCGCUUGAACAUCGGAGAGGUAAGUGGAAUUCCGAGUGUAGAGGUGAAAUUCGUAGAUAUUCGGAAGAACACCAGUGGCGAAGGCGGUGGUCUGGGCCGGUACUGACGCUGAGGAGCGAAAGCGUGGGGAGCGAACAGGA
rnacentral:rRNA from 1 species